rnacentral:rRNA from 1 species
UAGGGAAUCUUCGGCAAUGGGGGGAACCCUGACCGAGCAACGCCGCGUGAGUGAAGAAGGUUUUCGGAUCGUAAAGCUCUGUUGUUAAGGAAGAACGAGUGUGAGAAUGGAAAGUUCAUGCUGUGACGGUACUUAACCAGAAAGGGACGGCUAACUACGUGCCAGCAGCCGCGGUAAUACGUAGGUCCCGAGCGUUGUCCGGAUUUAUUGGGCGUAAAGCGAGCGCAGGCGGUUAGAAAAGUCUGAAGUGAAAGGCAGUGGCUCAACCAUUGUAGGCUUUGGAAACUGUUUAACUUGAGUGCAGAAGGGGAGAGUGGAAUUCCAUGUGUAGCGGUGAAAUGCGUAGAUAUAUGGAGGAACACCGGUGGCGAAAGCGGCUCUCUGGUCUGUAACUGACGCUGAGGAACGAAAGCGUGGGUAGCAAACAGG